rnacentral:rRNA from 1 species
UACGGAGGGUGCAAGCGUUAUCCGGAUUUACUGGGUUUAAAGGGUGCGUAGGUGGGUAGGUAAGUCAGUGGUGAAAUCUUCGAGCUUAACUCGGAAACUGCCAUUGAUACUAUUUAUCUUGAAUACUUUGGAGGUAAGCGGAAUAUGUCAUGUAGCGGUGAAAUGCUUAGAUAUGACAUAGAACACCGAUUGCGAAGGCAGCUAACGAAACUAUAACUGACGCUGAGGCACGAAAGUGCGGGGAUCAAACAGG